UACGAAGGGGGCUAGCGUUGUUCGGAAUUACUGGGCGUAAAGCGUGCACAGGCGGUUUUGUAAGUCUGUCGUGAAAUCCCCGGGCUCAACCUGGGAAUUGCGAUGGAGACUGCAAGGCUAGAAUCUGGCAGAGGGGGGUAGAAUUCCAACGUGUAGCAGUGAAAUGCGUAGAGAUGGUGGAGGAACACCGAUGGCGAAGGCAGCCCCCUGGGUCAAGAUUGACGCUCAUGGCACGAAAGCGUGGGGAGCAAACAGGAUUACGAA
rnacentral:rRNA from 1 species